CAAAACAUUGUGUUUGCAAGGGCUUGAUGUACUUGCAGAGGGAUGUGUGUCAUGUCCGACUCAAGCCCCAGAACUGUUUCUUGGAUGGACGAUUUGUGCAGAAGAUCACAGAUAACUGGUACAGCCAGGUUUUGGAUGGGCAGAAAUUCCCAUACAUGGAUACCCCAGCAGAGGGCAGAAAUUCCAGUAUCAGAGAAACACUGAUAGAUUGUAUUAUCCCAAUACUUCUCUUCACGUGUUUUUGACUAACCUGAGCUAGCGUAGCGUUUGCACUCUUUUCUUCCGCAUGCUGCACCUUUCAAUAUAAAGAGAGCAAAAUCACGGGGACUUUAAGACUGGCCAUUUUAAUAUCAGCGUCAGUUUCCACCACAGGUAAAAGACAUGCAGCACAGGUUUCAGGUGCUCGUGAGCGCCCCCUUUGCAGCCAUUAUGCGCCCUCAAUGAGCGAGCUCCACAACAGACUUCUACCUGUCAAUCAAAGCGCCAUUACAUCACAAAAGUGUGGAUUCGGAGGAAGGUCAAGAGGGCUUAGGGUUCUAUUUGGGACAGGGCCAGUGCUGAACUUUAUUCUCCUGCGUCCUAUUCUUCUGCAAUCCAGAAUGGCAGCACAACUGAAAGGUCAGAGGUGUCUAAAAACUUAAAGAGGCUCCUGAAGAAAGCAGAGAGGACGUGUCCCAGCUGCCCUAUUGGAAUACAAUGAAGGAAAUGUGUACCGGAAGAUCUCAAAUUAUAACUAAAAGAUCACUGAUGAUCCUGAGUGUAUCUUCGUAACUCUCAGACUGUGUCUUCUUACCUGAAGACCUGUCAACAGUUACUUGGCAAAAGAUCCCAAAAGACUACAGUUUGACAGCAGACUCUGAAAGGAUAGAGACACACUCUUCAAAAUAAAGGUUCUUUAUUGGCAUUGAUGAUUCCAUGAGGAACCUUAAACAUCCAUGGAACUUUUCCAUUGGACAAAAGGUUCUUUACAGUGAGAACUCGUCACUGAACGUUUCUUUAAGGUUCGUUGCUGCUAAAACCUCCUAGCACUCUUAUAUUCAAGAGUGUAGUAGUGCUGGAUGAGGACCAAUUAUUAUUUUGCAAGGCACCAGUCUAUUUGGAGGUCCAAAUAAUGAGAAAUUACAUAGCAGAAAUGGAAAUUACAUUUCCAACUGCAAGAUACAAAACAUUUUAAGACAACAAACACUUUUUCCCCUCCAAAAGACUGAGGAUCUCUGGAUAUAUAAGGCUCUGAUGUCUAUAAAUAUCUGUUUGGAGUACAUGUAAGACUGAGAUUAGUCUGAUGUUGGUUACUCUCAUCAUCUGAGUUAUCAGUUCACCGACCACAUUAUCAAUGUCUCUAAAACUAAAUGAUGACAAGAGAAACUGAAAAAACCUUGUAAGAAUUAGUAGUAUUGUCAUGGGAAGAAUAAAA